rnacentral:lncRNA from 1 species
UUUGCAAGUGUAACUGAAGAAGCACACGGCUCAAUGGAACAAUAGAAAGUGAUCAACAGUUCUACCUGCAGGGAACGUGGUACAUGAUGUAGGUAAGGUUUCAAAUUACUUCUAGAAGAAAGUAUAUUAAUUCAUCAGUGUUAUAGGGACAGUUAUACAGCCUUGAGGAAAAUAGUCAAGUUACAGCCUAUAUCAUAUUUUUCACCUAAAGUAAUUCCAAACAUUUUAAAUAUUUAACAUAUUAACACAGGAAAAAAAAUAAAAAUUCUCUAUGAGAAAAUAUGGGAAAUAUGUUUUCUAUACUCUUAAAUGUAAAAGAAAUGGUUUGGAUUAUAAAAACUCAGAACUCACAAAAGAAAUGACUAUGAACUUGGCAGGUAAAAAAUUUCUUACAGCUGAGGAAAAAUUGUAACGCAUGCUAAUUAGGAGAAGAGCAAACCAAGAUAUGUUCAGCUUGCAUCGGACUCAAAUGACUUACUUACAUAGAUAGGUAGGUAUGUAGGCAGGCAGGCCGACAGACAGACAGAUAGAUGUUUAGCCAUGUACAGUGUCAGAAGGGCACCACAAGUUCAAAACCAACCUGCACUAUAUGACGAGAGCCAGUGUACCUUGAUCGUGUGAAUUUUAUUAAACCAGGUCUCACUGUGUCCCAGGGUGGCCCUUAAUGCUCAAGUAACUCUUAACUUUCAACUGGGAGAACAAGCUCACAC